AUCUUGCAAGCGGUUUUUGAGAUAUGGAGCUCGUUUCGUUUGUUUCGUUAUAUAUCACUUUUUAAAAACUUUUCAAAAUUCAUCUCAGAUGGGCAAGUUUCGUCGACAUUUCAGAGGGGCAAGUUUCCUUCAAAAACCAUUCUCACAAGUAAAAAUCCUUGCCCCCAACACGAAUUUCAUGGUUUCGACUCAAUCUUGCAAGCUUUGUUUGUUUCGUUAAAUAUCACUUUUUGUUUCGUUUCAUUUCGUUUCGUUUCGUUUCCUUUCGUUUCGUUUCGUUUCAUCAAAUAUAAUAAGCCCUUUUUGGUACAUGUCCUUCAAUAGUUUUGUUUUUUGGUACACACACUACGUCGUUGUAAGCUAUGUUGUUUGGCUCCAACACGACCUUGAAUUCCUCUCCAAAUAGAACGAUAAACGUGGUGCCCUUGGAUAAAAUAAUUCACUUUGAAUACAGUUAUGUUUAUAAUGAGUAUUUCAUCUGUUACUGCUUCUUUGACACCAGAAUAGAAACAAAACCAUUGUCGUUUGCCAUUUUGCCAUGAUGAAGCACUGCACAUAUAAAGCAAUUAAUAAAUAGACUAUUUUAGUUCAGUUUGAUAUUUAACAAAGUUUUGGAGAAAAAUGAGCUCUUUUUAUUGGUUCAUAUUCAAAUUUUAAACACAGAUGACCUCUUUUUGAUCCUUAAAAUUUGGAGUCUGGAUAUUUCAAAGUCCUGCUAUGUCAAACAAUUUUUCAUUUUCCUUGCGAGGUUCAAGAUGGUGGGACUCAACGACUGUUGUAAAGAUCCAAUCUUGAGACAAUCCUUUUCAAGCAAGAAACACUGCUACUCCAGAAUUUGAUGUUUAUUUUGAUAGAUCUUAUGUCAAGUUUUGAGCAAGAUGUUACUAAGGGCUAGAAUUCAAGAUGUCUUGGAAUUUAAUGAGCAAGGUGCCAUCAAGAAUAACAUGCUGCUUGUCUAGAAACAAUCAACUGUUGUUUGUGAAAGUCACCAGCAAAACAUACAAAGAUGUUGGCGAAAAGAAGAGCAAAUACGACGAAGAAGCAACCCAGUCAAUCAAACGAAGAUGAUGCCAAAUGUUUUCUGCAUAAUUUCACUUAAGACUUAACAGCCAAAAGGCUGUAGUCAUUUAGAACCUAGGUUAGAAAAUUAUUUGAUUGUUGAAUUUAAAGUCUUUUUCCUGUUGGCAUAUCUCUCGUAAUUUCUGUAUUUGUCUCUUUUACUUGGGCUGAUCUUCGUGAGCGGUACUUCGAAAUAGGUUUUAAAUGCAGUUCAAGAUUCUAAUUAAAAAGUAAUAUAUAUCUAAAUAAAAUAUAAAAGUUAAAUAGAUUGAUAAUGAUCACUUGCGCUCGCUACUAUACACGGGUUGUCCGCUACAUAUAGGCAUUUUUAUGAAAUGCCUUUCAAAAUUUUAAAUGCUGCAUUUAUGCGUGCCAAAGUCUCACCCACAUCA